AUACGGAGGGUGCGAGCGUUACCCGGAUUUACUGGGUGUAAAGGGCGUGUAGGCGGCUUUCUAAGUCCGGUGCUAAAGACUGGGGCUCAACCCCAGGAGUGCGCUGGGUACUGGGAGGCUAGACGGUCGGAGAGGGCAGCGGAAUUCUCGGAGUAGCGGUGAAAUGCGCAGAUACCGAGAGGAACGCCGAUAGCGAAAGCAGCUGCCUGGACGAUAUUGUGACGCUGAGGCGCGAAAGCGUGGGGAGCAAACCGGAUUAGAUACCCGGGUAGUCCACGCCCUAAACGAUGAGUGCUGGGUGUCCGGCUUUAGCCGGGUGCCGAAGCUAACGCGAUAAGCACUCCACCUGGGAAGUACGGUCGCAAGACUGAA
rnacentral:rRNA from 1 species